CCUACGGGAGGCAGCAGUGGGGAAUUUUGCGCAAUGCUCGCAAGAGUGAAGCAGCGAUGCCGCGUGAAUGACGAAGGCCUUCGGGUCGUAAAGUUCUUUCGACAGGGAAGAAAAUGCCUAUAAGUAACUGUGUAUGUAUUGACGGUACCUGUAUAAGCAGCCCCGGCUAACUCCGUGCCAGCAGCCGCGGUAAUACGGAGGGGGCGAGCGUUGUUCGGAGUGACUGGGCGUAAAGAGCACGUAGGCGGUGUUGUAAGUCAUUAGUCAAAGACUAGAGCUCAACUUUAGUAAGGCUAGUGAUACUAUAAUACGAGAGUAUCAGAGAGGAUUGCAGAAUUCCUGGUGUAGCGGUGAAAUGCGUAGAGAUCAGGAGGAAUACCGUUAGCGAAGGCGGCAAUCUGGCUGGAAACUGACGCUGAGGUGCGAAAGCGUGGGUAGCAAACAGGAUUAGAUACCCCGGUAGUC
rnacentral:rRNA from 1 species